rnacentral:rRNA from 1 species
UACGUAGGGCGCAAGCGUUGUCCGGAAUUAUUGGGCGUAAAGAGCUCGUAGGCGGCUUGUCACGUCGGGUGUGAAAGCCCGGGGCUUAACCCCGGGUCUGCAUUCGAUACGGGCAGACUAGAGUUCGGCAGGGGAGACUGGAAUUCCUGAUGUAGCGGUGAAAUGCGCAGAUAUCAGGAGGAACACCGGUGGCGAAGGCGGGUCUCUGGGCCGAUACUGACGCUGAGGAGCGAAAGCGUGGGGAGCGAACAGG